CCUACGGGGGGCUGCAGUGAGGAAUAUUGCGCAAUGGGGGGAACCCUGACGCAGCAACGCCGCGUGAGCGAUGAAGGCCUUCGGGUUGUAAAGCUCUUUUCCAAGGGAAGAGGAAGGACGGUACCUUGGGAAUAAGCCUCGGCUAACUACGUGCCAGCAGCCGCGGUAAAACGUAGGAGGCGAGCGUUAUCCGGAAUCACUGGGCGUAAAGGGCAAGUAGGCGGGCGCCAAAGUUGGGCGUGACAGAUCUCGGCUUAACCGAGAAAGGUCGUCCAAAACUAGGGGUCUAGAGAGCAGGAGAGGAAGGCGGAACUCCUAGUGUAGCAGUGGAAUGCUUAGAUAUUAGGAGGAACACCAGUGGCGAAAGCGGCCUUCUGGCCUGUGCCUGACGCUGAGAGGCGAAAGCUAGGGUAGCAAACGGGCUUAGAUACCCGUGUAGUC
rnacentral:rRNA from 1 species